UACGUAGGGUCCGAGCGUUGUCCGGAAUUACUGGGCGUAAAGAGCUCGUAGGUGGUUUGUCGCGUUGUUCGUGAAAACUCACAGCUCAACUGUGGGCGUGCGGGCGAUACGGGCAGACUAGAGUACUGCAGGGGAGACUGGAAUUCCUGGUGUAGCGGUGGAAUGCGCAGAUAUCAGGAGGAACACCGGUGGCGAAGGCGGCGUUCUGGACUGUUUCUGACACUGAAUAACGAAAGCCAGGGGAGCAAACGGG
rnacentral:rRNA from 1 species